UAUCGGCCCCUUCGUGCAACCUCUUCGACUUGGGCUCCCCCUCUUUAACUUAAUCGACCAAGGACGAUCCUCGGCGAACCCGCCGGUUUCCUGGUGAUGGAAUUGGAUCAGUGGAUCGCGAAGGUGAAGAAAGGGCAGCAUCUGGAGGAACACGAGCUACAACUCCUCUGCUAAUACGCACGCUAGGGCACCGUCCUUUUCUUGCCUAAGCAUUUUCUUGCUUCUUUUUCUCUGUUUUGUUUCCUAGAUCUUGGUUUGAUGCGAGGCUACGAGGAGGAAGAAAUGAUGCAGGUUCUCGUGCCGAAGAAAGCAGAGCGUUUUGCUUGAGCUGAAGGAAAAGGAAGGGGAUUUUGACUUCAUGACAGAUUGGGUAUACAGAUUGAACAGGAAUAAAAGCUUAAAAUUAAGUUGCUAUGUACAUGUAGCUGGAAACCUGAGUAUCAACUAUUUUUCUGACACUUAUGAGAUAAGAUCAUUCCAGAAUGGGAGAUCAAAUGGCAACUUUACAACUCCAGAUGCAACCAAGAGGAGCAAAAGCCACACUGGUAAGAUGUUUAGACAUACUAGCAACAGGAUUCUUUGCCCUGCAAAAGUUUCAUGACAUAGUUGAGAAUUCAGUUGUAUGGAUGAAAUUGUAACAUAUAUAAACAUAAUGAAGAUUGGCAGAGAAUUAAAUUCAA